CCUACGGGUGGCAGCAGUGGGGAAUAUUGGACAAUGGGCGAAAGCCUGAUCCAGCCAUGCCGCGUGUGUGAAGAAGGCCUUCGGGUUGUAAAGCACUUUCAGUGGGGAAGAAAGCCUUGGGGCUAAUACCCUCGAGGAAGGACAUCACCCACAGAAGAAUCACCGGCUAACUCCGUGCCAGCAGCCGCGGUAAUACGGAGGGUGCGAGCGUUAAUCGGAAUUACUGGGCGUAAAGCGCGCGUAGGCGGUCUGAUAAGCCGGUUGUGAAAGCCCCGGGCUCAACCUGGGAACGGCAUCCGGAACUGUCAGGCUAGAGUGCAGGAGAGGAAGGUAGAAUUCCCGGUGUAGCGGUGAAAUGCGUAGAGAUCGGGAGGAAUACCAGUGGCGAAGGCGGCCUUCUGGACUGACACUGACGCUGAGGUGCGAAAGCGUGGGUAGCAAACAGGAUUAGAUACCCCGGUAGUC
rnacentral:rRNA from 1 species